UGGGGAAUAUUGCGCAAUGGACGAAAGUCUGACGCAGCGACGCCUCGUGAGGGACGAAGGUCUUCGGAUUGUAAACCUCUUUCAGCAGGGACGAAGCGAAAGUGACGGUACCUGCAGAAGAAGCACCGGCUAACUAUGUGCCAGCAGCCGCGGUAAUACAUAGGGUGCAAGCGUUGUCCGGAUUUAUUGGGCGUAAAGAGUUCGUAGGCGGUUUCUCGCGUCGGAUGUGAAAACUCAGGGCUCAACCCUGAGCCUGCAUUCGAUACGGGGAAACUUGAGGACGGCAGGGGAGACUGGAACUCCUGGUGUAGCGGUGGAAUGCGCAGAUAUCAGGAAGAACACCAAUGGCGAAGGCAGGUCUCUGGGCCGAUUCUGACGCUGAGGAACGAAAGCGUGGGGA
rnacentral:rRNA from 1 species